AGAAUAUCUUAACAGAAGUAAAGUGCAUAGUAAAGUGUAUAGCCCAUUAAUAGUACCAAAAAACCACAGUAAUAAAGUGCUAGAUGCAAUCACCCAUUAAAAAGGUAUACUGACCAAAUAAAAACCCUGACUUUUUGGCUAUGAAGCCUUCCCCUGGGGGACCUCUCCCUCUCAUAUCGAGGCCCAUUAGAUCUUAAUGUCAUGACAACAUUCCUAACAGAACCCAAAGCUCCAAGAGAGCAAACAGAAGCACAAGCAUGAGCAAAUCCUCACAGUGUGUUCUCCUGAGAGUCUAGUUGCGAAGAUCUGUUCUUUGAGGCUUUACCGAGAUUGUUCAGUAAGCACAAUUGUCCAGCAUGUCCUUUACUGGAAUAAAUUAGGCAGCUUUUUUUUGUUGGUGAUAGUGGCAUGAGAAUUCCAAAUUUUAUUAAAUGACACGAAG